GACGAACGCUGGCGGCGUGCCUAACACAUGCAAGUCGAACGAAGUGGCGGACGGGUGAGUAACGCGUAAUCAACCUGCCCUUCAGAGGGGGACAACAGUUGGAAACGACUGCUAAUACCGCAUACUGAGGGAGGGGAUUGCGUCGGAUUAGCUAGGUGGAGGGGUAACGGCCUACCAAGGCGAUGAUCAGUAGCCUGUCUUGGAGGAUGAACGGCCACAUUGGGACUGAGACACGGCCCAGACUCCUACGGGAGGCAGCAGUGGGGAAUCUUCCGCAAUGGACGGAAGUCUGACGGAGCAACGCCGCGUGAGUGAUGACGGCUUUCGGGUUGUAAAGCUCUGUUAAUCGGGACGCGGUACCGGAAUAGAAAGCCACGGCUAACUACGUGCCAGCAGCCGCGGUAAUUC
rnacentral:rRNA from 1 species